UACGUAGGGUGCAAGCGUUGUCCGGAAUUAUUGGGCGUAAAGAGCUUGUAGGCGGUUUGUCGCGUCUGCUGUGAAAUUUCGGGGCUCAACCCCGAACUUGCAGUGGGUACGGGCAGACUAGAGUGUGGUAGGGGAGACUGGAAUUCCUGGUGUAGCGGUGAAAUGCGCAGAUAUCAGGAGGAACACCAGUGGCGAAGGCGACACGCUGGGCCAUACCUGACGCUAAAGCGCGACAGCAUGGGGAGCAAACGGG
rnacentral:rRNA from 1 species